rnacentral:misc_RNA from 1 species
UUUACUUUUUAUGCAGGAGCCCCUUCUUUUUUAAUCUUCAUUUUAUACGGUUUUUUGUUAUCAUAUUUUCUUCGUUGGGUUACUUUACCCAACUGUGGUUUAAAUGUCUUACUUGGGGAUUAUAGAAGACACUAAAAAAUGGAAAGCAAAUAUAUGGUUGCUUAGUGAUUCUGUUCUUGGGGCGCUUCGCAAGUGGGUUAGGUAGCCAAUGGCUGAGGAUUGUUCAAAAUCUAGGCAGCUUGUUAAUGUGAUAAAUAAGUUGUGAUUUGAACCAGCGUUUGGCAUUAGCUGCUAUAAAUAUCCUAAUUGCAUGGCUUUUUGCAGAUUGCAGCUAUUUGUCAGG